CCGGCACGGUGGGUAACACGUAUCCAACCUGCCGUCUACUCUUGGCCAGCCUUCUGAAAGGAAGAUUAAUCCAGGAUGGCAUCAUGAGUUCACAUGUCCGCAUGAUUAAAGGUAUUUUCCGGUAGACGAUGGGGAUGCGUUCCAUUAGAUAGUAGGCGGGGUAACGGCCCACCUAGUCAACGAUGGAUAGGGGUUCUGAGAGGAAGGUCCCCCACAUUGGAACUGAGACACGGUCCAA
rnacentral:rRNA from 1 species